rnacentral:rRNA from 1 species
GUUUGUCGCGUUGUUCGUGAAAACUCACAGCUUAACUGUGGGCGUGCGGGCGAUACGGGCAGACUUGAGUACUGCAGGGGAGACUGGAAUUCCUGGUGUAGCGGUGGAAUGCGCAGAUAUCAGGAGGAACGCCGGUGGCGAAGGCGGGUCUCUGGGCAGUAACUGACGCUGAGGAGCGAAAGCGUGGGGAGCGAACAGGAUUAGAUACCCUGGUAGUCCACGCCGUAAACGGUGGGUACUAGGUGUGGGUUUCCUUCCUUGGGAUCCGUGCCGUAGCUAACGCAUUAAGUACCCCGCCUGGGGAGUACGGCCGCAAGGCUAAAACUCAAAGAAAUUGACGGGGGCCCGCACAAGCGGCGGAGCAUGUGGAUUAAUUCGAUGCAACGCGAAGAACCUUACCUGGGUUUGACAUGCACAGGACGCCAGUAGAGAUAUUGGUUCCCUUGUGGCCUGUGUGCAGGUGGUGCAUGGCUGUCGUCAGCUCGUGUCGUGAGAUGUUGGGUUAAGUCCCGCAACGAGCGCAACCCUUGUCCUAUGUUGCCAGCGGGUUAUGCCGGGGACUCGUAGGAGACUGCCGGGGUCAACUCGGAGGAAGGUGGGGAUGACGUCAAGUCAUCAUGCCCCUUAUGUCCAGGGCUUCACACAUGCUACAACGGCCGGUACAAAGGGCUGCGAUGCCGUGAGGUGGAGCGAAUCCUUUCAAAGCCGGUCUCAGUUCGGAUCGGGGUCUGCAACUCGACCCCGUGAAGUCGGAGUCGCU